UACGAAGGGGGCUAGCGUUGCUCGGAAUCACUGGGCGUAAAGCGCACGUAGGCGGCUUUGUAAGUUAGAGGUGAAAGCCUGGAGCUCAACUCCAGAAUUGCCUUUAAGACUGCAUCGCUUGAAUCCAGGAGAGGUGAGUGGAAUUCCGAGUGUAGAGGUGAAAUUCGUAGAUAUUCGGAAGAACACCAGUGGCGAAGGCGGCUCACUGGACUGGUAUUGACGCUGAGGUGCGAAAGCGUGGGGAGCGAACAGG
rnacentral:rRNA from 1 species